rnacentral:rRNA from 1 species
UACAGAGGUCUCAAGCGUUGUUCGGAUUCAUUGGGCGUAAAGGGUGCGUAGGUGGCGGGGUAAGUCAGGUGUGAAAUCUCGGAGCUCAACUCCGAAACUGCACUUGAUACUGCCUUGCUUGAGUACUGGAGAGGAGAUUGGAAUUUACGGUGUAGCAGUGAAAUGCGUAGAUAUCGUAAGGAAGACCAGUGGCGAAGGCGAAUCUCUGGACAGUUACUGACACUGAGGCACGAAGGCCAGGGAGCAAACGGG